UACGUAGGGUGCAAGCGUUAAUCGGAAUUAUUGGGCGUAAAGCGCGUGUAGGCGGCUCGGUAAGUCUGCUGUGAAAGUCCAGGGCUCAACCCUGGAAUGCCGGUGGAUACUGUCGAGCUAGAGUCCGGAAGAGGCGAGUGGAAUUCCUGGUGUAGCGGUGAAAUGCGCAGAUAUCAGGAGGAACACCAAUGGCGAAGGCAGCUCGCUGGGACGGUACUGACGCUGAGACGCGAAAGCGUGGGGAGCAAACAGG
rnacentral:rRNA from 1 species